AGACCCAUGUUUAGCUUCGAAUUUCUUUUGCACAUUAUAUUUGUGUAAUGAAGCUAAAUAUUUUAGGAGCAUCAAAUUUUCGAAUUACGAAGAAUUCAAACUCGGCAGCAACAGAAUGACAAACAGAAGCUUCGAUUCGAAUUGAAUAUGUCACAGGUAAAAAAAGAAUUUGCUAUAACCUUUGACUAUAUACCUAUGGACUGCUAAUGGGCAGCCAUUGUGCGAUCCAAGAUCUCAGCGCCAUCAGGUACCAACGGCCAAACCAAGAACUAAUAACCAUAUAUUUCGUGAACAUUGUUUUAAGAAUAUAAUAUUCACAUUCUCUUAUACUACAAUAUAAAACAAAAUAUUCAUGGUCAUUGUAUUAAUAUGAUUUUUAAAAUGCUUUUUGAACAGUAAAAUUGUUGCACUUUUCAUGUUAAAUUGCAAAAUAACUUCAAAUUCUUUUCUUACUUACAAUAAAGCAUUAGGUACAUGAGAAUGUAGUACAAUAAAGUAUACUUGAAAGGAAAAAAUUAAGAAAAUAAAAACGUAAUCUUAAGAGACUAGAAA